GUACACUCCUGCGGGAGGCAGCAGUGGGGAAUUUUGGACAAUGGGGGCAACCCUGAUCCAGCAAUGCCGCGUGAGUGAAGAAGGCCUUCGGGUUGUAAAGCUCUUUUGUCAGGGAAGAAACGGUGGUGGCGAAUAACUACUACUAAUGACGGUACCUGAAGAAUAAGCACCGGCUAACUACGUGCCAGCAGCCGCGGUAAUACGUAGGGUGCAAGCGUUAAUCGGAAUUACUGGGCGUAAAGCGUGCGCAGGCGGUUGUGUAAGUCAGAUGUGAAAUCCCCGGGCUCAACCUGGGAAUUGCAUUUGGGACUGCACGGCUAGAGUGUGUCAGAGGGGGGUAGAAUUCCACGUGUAGCAGUGAAAUGCGUAGAUAUGUGGAGGAAUACCGAUGGCGAAGGCAGCCCCCUGGGAUAACACUGACGCUCAUGCACGAAAGCGUGGGGAGCAAACAGGAUUAGAAACCCGGGUAGUCCCAU
rnacentral:rRNA from 1 species